rnacentral:lncRNA from 1 species
GGAACCUCGAGCAGUCAGCCCUGCCCUGAGAAACAACGGAGAAUUUGUGAUUGGCCUUCAGCCUGUCCAGCUGUGUGUUUGAGGCCCCUCCCGCGCCCAGCUCCGAGUACGGGAGCCGCUGCCGCCAAGUCCGGACCCAACACCGCGCGCCGCCGACGCCCGCCUGCUCGACGUGCACUCCCGGUACGGUCGGGCCCCGAGCGCACUGCGCGGGAGGGUCAGGAGAGCGAGCUGCCUCCGGCUCGCUAGCUCGGCGCUGUCCCCGAAGGGGUCUCUGCUCCCGGGGAGUCGGGGGGAGGCAGGAUCCGCACGUGGACUCGGAGGUCACCGCACUCUGCUUUUGCUCUAAGUGGGCACCAUGGCCUGUGGUCCGGCUGGGGAACCGAGGUGGCCGCAGCUAUCCUGUGGCUGAAAGCCCGGGUGGAUGCAGAAAGACAAGGAAAUGACAGAUCUAAAGGGUGGGGCAUACCUCCGGGUUUAAAAUAGGCAAACAACGCAGAACUGGAGGUCGGGUUUCCAGAGCCCACCCAGCCUAAAAACCCUCAGCAGUCGCGGGUGAGGGAUAGAGGGAGGGGGUCGAAAACCGCGGAGCGCUGCUUGGGUCGCUUUUUAACCCUGGGACUCUUCAAGAGGUGGACUCCAUGGGGCGGCUACUGCCUGCGGAUUAUAGGGCGCUCUUUGCGCAAAUUACACUUAUUAAGCAGCUGCUGAUGUAUCGGGUGCUACGCAAGGCACGGUGCAUGCAAAGAUGAAGCAGGAAGAGUCUCAGCCCUCCUGCCGAUGGUCUUUUGAGAGCAGGCUAUCUGGUACCGUCCCCUCGUCUUGAGAAAUGGGGGAACCUAAAGCUGGGAGAGGGUUAGGGCAUCUCUGAGGUCACAGAGUGGGUGGCAGAGUUGGGGGAGUAGACCCACUUUCUGCAGUGCUCGUCCCUCACCCGUGCCCCCACGUUGAAGGGAGCGCUGGAUCCCAGGGUUUAGAUUCUGGUGAGGCCAGGUCUAGAAAUAGCAGUGAUUUACACGGAGAGAUCUGAUUCCACCUUAGUGACUCUGGGCUGCCUGCCUGGAAGUCCUCUCGGAUAUUUUUGCCCUUUGGGGUGGUGUCAAG